AACGUAGGACACAAGCGUUAUCCGGAGUUACUGGGCGUAAAGGGCGUGUAGGCGGAUUGGUAAGUCUACUCUGAAAGCCUGUGGCUCAACCACAGAAUUGCCUUCGAUACUGUUUGGCUUGAGACCGGAAGAGGUCAGUGGAACUGCGAGUGUAGAGGUGAAAUUCGUAGAUAUUCGCAAGAACACCAGUGGCGAAGGCGGCUGACUGGUCCGGUUCUGACGCUGAGGCGCGAAAGCGUGGGGAGCAAACAGG
rnacentral:rRNA from 1 species